AGCGAACGCUGGCGGCAGGCUUAACACAUGCAAGUCGAGCGGGCAUCCUUGUGGUGUCAGCGGCAGACGGGUGAGUAACGCGUGGGAACGUGCCCUUCGGUUCGGAAUAACUCAGGGAAACUUGAGCUAAUACCGGAUACGUGCGAGAGCAGAAAGGUUUAUCUGCCGAAGGAUCGGCCCGCGUCUGAUUAGCUAGUUGGUGAGGUUAUGGCUCACCAAGGCGACGAUCAGUAGCUGGUCUGAGAGGAUGAUCAGCCACACUGGGACUGAGACACGGCCCAGACUCCUACGGGAGGCAGCAGUGGGGAAUAUUGGACAAUGGGGGCAACCCUGAUCCAGCCAUGCCGCGUGAGUGAGGACGGCCUUAGGGUUGUAAAGCUCUUUUCUCCGGGACGAUAAUGACGGGACCGGAGGAAUAAGCCCCGGCUAACUUCGUGC
rnacentral:rRNA from 1 species